rnacentral:sRNA from 1 species
GCUGGGCAUGGUGGUGCACACCUGUAAUCCCAGCGGCUGGGAGGCUGAGACAGGAGGAUCGUGAGUUCAAAGCCAGCCUCAGCAACAGUGAGACACUAAGUAAUUCAGUGAGACCCUGUCUCUA